AACGAACGCUGGCGGCAGGCUUAACACAUGCAAGUCGAACGCCCCGCAAGGGGAGUGGCAGACGGGUGAGUAACGCGUGGGAAUCUACCCAUCCCUACGGAAUAACGCAUGGAAACGUGUGCUAAUACCGUAUACGCCCUACGGGGGAAAGAUUUAUCGGGGAUGGAUGAGCCCGCGUUGGAUUAGCUAGUUGGUGGGGUAAAGGCCUACCAAGGCGACGAUCCAUAGCUGGUCUGAGAGGAUGAUCAGCCACAUUGGGACUGAGACACGGCCCAAACUCCUCCGGGAGGCAGCAGUGGGGACUAUUGGACAAUGGGCGCAAGCCUGAUCCAGCCAUGCCGCGUGAGUGAUGAAGGCCUUAGGGUUGUAAAGCUCUUUCACCGGAGAAGAUAAUGACGGUAUCCGGAGAAGAAGCCCCGGCUAACUUCGU
rnacentral:rRNA from 1 species